UACAGAGGUCCCAAGCGUUGUUCGGAUUCACUGGGCGUAAAGGGUGCGCAGGUGGGUUUGCAAGUUCGAUGUGAAAGCCCCGGGCUUAACCCGGGAAUGGCGUUGGAUACUGCAGAUCUGGAGGAUCGGAGGGGGGACUGGAAUUCUUGGUGUAGCAGUGAAAUGCGUAGAUAUCAAGAGGAACACCAGUGGCGAAGGCGAGUCCCUGGACGAUACCUGACACUGAGGCACGAAAGCUAGGGGAGCAAACAGG
rnacentral:rRNA from 1 species